UACGGAGGGGGCUAGCGUUGUUCGGAAUUACUGGGCGUAAAGCGCACGUAGGCGGCUUUGUAAGUUAGAGGUGAAAGCCUGGGGCUCAACUCCAGAACUGCCUUUAAGACUGCAUCGCUUGAAUCAUGGAGAGGCGGGUGGAAUUCCGAGUGUAGAGGUGAAAUUCGUAGAUAUUCGGAAGAACACCAGUGGCGAAGGCGGCCCGCUGGACGAUGUAUUGACGCUGAGGUGCGAAAGCGUGGGGAGCAAACAGG
rnacentral:rRNA from 1 species